UACGAAGGGGGCUAGCGUUGCUCGGAAUCACUGGGCGUAAAGCGCACGUAGGCGGAUUGCUAAGUCAGGGGUGAAAUCCUGGAGCUCAACUCCAGAACUGCCUUUGAUACUGGCGACCUUGAGUCCGGGAGAGGUGAGUGGAACUGCGAGUGUAGAGGUGAAAUUCGUAGAUAUUCGCAAGAACACCAGUGGCGAAGGCGGCUCACUGGCCCGAUACUGACGCUGAUGCACGAAAGCGUGGGGAGCAAACAGG
rnacentral:rRNA from 1 species